GACGAACGCUGGCGGCGUGCUUAACACAUGCAAGUCGAACGGAAAGGCCCUGCUUUUGUGGGGUGCUCGAGUGGCGAACGGGUGAGUAACACGUGAGUAACCUGCCCUUGACUUUGGGAUAACUUCAGGAAACUGGGGCUAAUACCGGAUAGGAGCUCCUGCUGCAUGGUGGGGGUUGGAAAGUUUCGGCGGUUGGGGAUGGACUCGCGGCUUAUCAGCUUGUUGGUGGGGUAGUGGCUUACCAAGGCUUUGACGGGUAGCCGGCCUGAGAGGGUGGCCGGCCACAUUGGGACUGAGAUACGGCCCAGACUCCUACGGGGGGCAGCAGUGGGGAAUAUUGCACAAUGGGCGGAAGCCUGAUGCAGCAACGCCGCGUGCGGGAUGACGGCCUUCGGGUUGUAAACCGCUUUCGCCUGUGACGAAGCGUGAGUGACGGUAAUGGGUAAAGAAGCACCGGCUAACUACGUG
rnacentral:rRNA from 1 species